rnacentral:lncRNA from 1 species
UUUCACAUCCUUCUUUGUGAAUGACAAGUUUUGAUGGCCACCAAACAACUUAGACAUCACGUUCAUCAUAGCCUGGUGUGCCACCCCAUUCCUUGACAUGAUAGCAAACAGGUCAUCCAUCGCCGCCUCUCUUUGUUUGUGGGCAUGCAUGUACCUCGCCAUCCUGGGCAACGGGUGCAGCUUGUGGUUGUGUGCUUCCUCAACAUGGUCAAAGUAUCCUUACUUAACUUUCUU